rnacentral:tRNA from 1 species
GCCUGCAUAGCUUAGUUGGUAGAGCAUCCGCCUAGUAAGCGGAAGGUCAUCGGUUCGACUCCGGUUGUAGGCUCU